GGGCGCAUAGCUCAGGUGGUUAGAGCGCACGCCUGAUAAGCGUGAGGUCGAUGGUUCGAGUCCAUUUGUGCCCA
rfam:Ruminococcus callidus ATCC 27760 genomic scaffold Scaffold22, whole genome shotgun sequence.